ACCCGACGCCGGCAAAAGGGCUGCACUAAAAUCGCGUUUACUGAUACCGAAAACGAUCCGACGCGGCGAGGAGGGCGAGAAAACCCUCUGUCUCCGUUGUAAAACCCUAGCUGUCGCUCGGCGCGCGCGCGCGCGCUCUCCCUCUCUCUCACCCAAAACCCUAAGCGCCAUGGCCGAGGCCGAGGGGGAUGACCAAAACCUCGAGCCCCAGCACGAUCCCCCGCCCCUCACGAAGCGAAAGCCCGUCUCCGAUUGCGUCGAAGAAGGGGAGGAAGAGGAGGAGAGGGAUACGAAGCUCCGGAAGCCGGACACCACUGCUCCUCUCCAAGAAGACGACGAGGAUGACGACGACGACGGAGAGGAUGGCGACUACGAGGAGGGCGCCAACGACGACGGUGAAGCGAGCGAUCCCAAUGGGCAUGCCGCAACCGAUAAGGGGAAGGGCGUGGUAGCAGCGGUGGAUAAGGGGAAGGGCAAGAUGGUGGUGGAAGAGGAAGACGAUGAGGACUCUGAUAACAGUAACGAUGACGGUAGUGGCGAUGAGAUGGCGGAUGAGGGUGACGACGACAGUGAUUUCGCGGAUGAUCCGCUCGCCGAGGUCGAUCUCUCGAACAUUCUCCCCUCGAGGACGCGGCAGCGAGCAGCCACGCAGCAAGGGAUUCGUUUCGUUGCCGAUCGAGAUGGGGGUGACAGAUGAUUGAAGAUUACCUGUGAUGAGACGAAAGGGAGUUCUUCGUACCAGCUUAAUUGGACGAAGCGGGCAAGCCAGCCUUAGGAGCUCCUAUGCUAGUCCACUACUAAUCGGAUGACUGAAACCUAGUCCAACAUAUCCGCAGUUUGCGUGCAACAUUAUUAUCUGGACUGGAAAGGUUCAUUGACUGAUAGAAAACAGGAAAUUGAAGAGAAGGUGGCAGGUGACCUUGCUGGGUUGAGUUUCACAAAACAUUAGGGGUUCUUUCCCUCUCAGGUGUUUGUGAUUUCUCACAUUUUUGUCACCAUUCCUCUUUAUUUGUCUGUGUGCUUAUUAGCGUUCUGCCGCCUCUUUAGGAGACAUAUUGGGUGAUCUUCCUGUUAUAUCACCCCCUCUCUGUGUAUUAGUUAUGUCACUUGAAGGCAUCAAAGAUUUUCAAGUUGGUUUAGUACACAGUAAGCUUUGAUUUGUACAUCUUUGCUUGAAGUUGUUGGAAGUGAUCAUUGGUGUUAUCUA